GAUGAAGAACGCAGCGAAAUGCGAUACGUAAUGUGAAUUGCAGAAUUCAGUGAAUCAUCGAAUCUUUGAACGCAUAUUGCGCUCUCUGGUAUUCCGGAGAGCAUGCUUGUUUGAGUAUCAGUAAACACCUCAACUUCCAUAUCUUUUUUGAAAUGGGAGUUGGACUUGAGUGAUCCCAACGCUUUUCCUCACCGAAAAGCGGCGGGUUACUUGAAAUGCAGGUGCAGCUGGACUUUUCUCUGAGCUAUAAGCAUAUCUAUUUAGUCUGCCUAAAAAACAGAUUAUUACCUUCGCUGCAGCUAACAUAAAGGAGAUUAGUUCUUGUGCUGACUGAUGCAGGAUUCACAAAGACAGGCUUCGGCCGACUUUGUAAACUCGAUCUCAAAUCAAGUAAGACUACCCGCUGAACUUAAGCAUAUCAAUAAGCGGAGGA
rnacentral:misc_RNA from 1 species